ensembl:lncRNA
GAGCGCGGUAAAGUUAGUUUUAGGUUUGAUAUUCGCUGGAUAUUCGCCUAGGCUUGCUUUAGGGACCGUCUGCAAAUAUACCUCUCAGUACAGAACGAAGUCCAAUAAUUAAUACAAAUUAUGUUUCCAACAUUACAGUAAAUGUCUUGUGGGCAAACUGACACAAAAUAUUUAGCCAAUAUGUCCCUACUAACAAUAUCUCCCUUACUGUAUAUAAUAAUUCUUUAAAAACAAUUACUGUAAAUCACCAAAAGGGUUUUUUCAUGUUCCAAAGGUUGUAGUAAGUUUGUAUUUACAAGACUGACUUACUACAGGUGAAAUUUUGACAAUAUCUCCCUUACUGUAUGUACAGUAUAUAAUAAUUAUUAAAAAAACAAUUACUGUAAAUCACCAAAAUGUUUUUUUUACUGUUCCAAAGGUUGUAGUACGUUUGUAGUUACAAGACUUACUUACUACAGGUGAAAUUUUGCCAUUAUCUCCCUUACUGUACGUACAGUACACACUCUUUUAAAAAACAAUUACUGUAAAUCACCAAAAUUGUUUUUUCCUGUUCCAAUGGUUGUAGUAAAUUUGUAUUUACAAGACUGAAAUACUACAGGUGAAUUUAUGCCAAUAUCUCCCUUACUGUACGUACAGUACAUAAUAAUUCUUUAAAAACAAUUACUGUAAAUCACCAAAAGGGUUUUUUCAUGUUCCAAAGGUUGUAGUAAGUUUGUAGUUACAAGACUUACUUACUACAGGUGAAAUUUUGCCAUUACCUCCCUUACUGUAUGUACAGUAUAUAAUAAUUAUUUAAAAACAAUUACUGUAAAUCACCAAAAGGUUUUUUUCAUGUUCCAAAGGUUGUAGUAAGUUUGUUUUUUCAAGACUGACUUACUACAGGUGAAUGUUUGCCAAUAUCUCCCUUACUGUACGUACAGUACAUAAUAAUUCUUUUUAAAAAAUACUGUAAAUUACCAAAAGGGUUUUUUCAUGUUACAAAGGUUGUAGUACACUUGUAGUUACAAGACUGACUUGCUACAGGUGAGAUUUUGCCAUUACCACACUUACUCUAUAUACUGUAUACUGUCUACUGGUCACUACUGAAUAUUUGUUUGGUAAAUACAUUAGCCACGAGUAGGUAUUGGAACUGCUGUUGUUUCUACAACAUAUUUUCUUAAUCGAUACAUAAAACAAAAACAAUACACAAAAGAUUAUUUUUUUAAUUCAAAAAUUAAAACACAUUCUCACCGUUAUAACAUCCUUUUCAAAUCUUAAAGUGCAAAAUGACACAUACUUUUUCACAAAGUUUAAGUUACCUUUCAAAUGUCAAUAUUGUAACACAUUACCAAUAUUUAAGUGGACUUUUUUUAAACUAGACACACAUUGUGCAAUACCACUGGGCAUCCUUUCCAAGUAUAUUGUCCUGAGACAGUCCAAGGCAGCAUGCAUGGAACCAU